AUUGCGUCACAUCGACCGUACCAACUGACAAUUGCGUGGGGGGGGGGGCGGACCCUGCCAAGUAAUGCGCGUUCGGUCGAGCUCACGGGGGACAUUUCAUUUUACGCGUUUAACAUGCAAUAAAUAUACACAUCACGCUGCGGAUUUUUCUUCACAGUCUCAUGUCCUCUUCGCCCCCCCCCCAAAAAAAACAAACACGUCCAGUUUCUGCAACAGAGUCCGUAGAUAAUAUAGUGCUUAAAUACCAUUAUUGCACGGGCGGGGGGAUGGGUGUGGGGGUAGUGGCCCAGCCUGCCAACGUGCUACCUCCCCCGCCUCGGCAAUGUAGGCCAGGACGGGGGCUCCGCACCGGCCUAGGCCUGACUAAGCCUGUGAAAUCACCUGAGGAAGAAAAAGACGAAGAAGUAUAAGAAAGGCAUCUCCAAGGUAGCUCUCUGGUAUCCCUAAACUUCCCAAGUCCCUGAUGCCGGGGGAACCGCAAGAAGCCGCCGCGGGCGAUGGACCGUUUGCUGGAGCCUGGUCAAUUUCCUCAGAGAUUUAUACUCUUUGUUUUUUUUGGUAAAUUCACAUAGAUAAAACAAAAUAAAGAUAAAAGAAAACAACUUCAUCAA